ACUUAGUGAUCCGGUGGUUCUGCGUGGAAGGGCCAUCGCUCAACGGAUAAAAGCUACCCUGGGGAUAACAGGCUUAUCUCCCCCAAGAGUCCACAUCGACGGGGAGGUUUGGCACCUCGAUGUCGGCGCAUCACAUCCUGGGGCUGUAGUAGGUCCCAAGGGUUGGGCUGUUCGCCCAUUAAAGUGGUACGCGAGCUGGGUUCAGAACGUCGUGAGACAGUUCGGUCCCUAUCCG
rnacentral:rRNA from 1 species